UCCUUUUCUGCUCCUGGUCGUGGGCACUGUGCCCUGGCCAUUGAUGGUGCGGGAGAGGAUUGCUGAAAGGAGUUUCCCCGUGUUUGAAGGGCCCAGCUGUCCCCUCCAAACCCUGGAACUUCCACACA